GUCUGACUGGUCGGGGUGUGGUAAGGGGUGUGACGGUCUGGUGUUGGUGCAGGGUCUGGUGGCGUGGUAAAAAAGGGUCGUGUGACAGGUCUGGUGUCGUGUGACAGGUCUGGUGUCGUGUGACAGGUCUGGGGUCGGUGUGACAGGUCUGGUGCGUGGUAAAGGGGGUGGUGUGACAGGUCUGGGUGGUCGUGUGACGGUUCUGGUGGCGUGGGUAAGGGGGGUGUGGACAGGUCGCUGGAUGUCGGUGACAGGUUGGUGUUUGUGGUGAAAGGGGGUGUGUGACAGGUCUGGUGUCGUGUGACAGGUCUGGGUGGCGUGGAAGGGGUGUGUGUGACGAGGUUCUGGUGUCGUGUGACAGGUCUGGUUGUCGUGAGACUGGUCUGGUGUCGUGUGACAGGGUCCUGGUGUCGUGUAGACAGGUCUGGGUGUCGCGUGAGACUGGUCCUGCUUAGCGUGUGACAGGUCUGUGGUGUGGUAAAGAGGGUGUGUGAACAGGUCCUGGUGGUUGUGUUGACAGGUCCUGGUGGCGUGGUAAAAGGGUGUGUGACAGGUCUGGUGUCGUAGUGACAGGUUCUUGUGUCGUGGUGACAGGUUCGGGUGUCCGUGGUAAAAGGGGUGUGUGACAGUCGGU
rnacentral:lncRNA from 1 species